rnacentral:rRNA from 1 species
UACGUAGGGUGCAAGCGUUAAUCGGAAUUACUGGGCGUAAAGCGUGCGCAGGCGGUUCGUUAUGUCCGAUGUGAAAGCCCCGAGCUCAACUUGGGAAUGGCAUUGGAAACUGGCGGGCUGGAGUGUGGCAGAGGGGGGGUGGAAUUCCACGUGUAGCAGUGAAAUGCGUAGAGAUGUGAAGGAACACCGAUGGCGAAGGCAGCCCCCCUGGGCCAACACUGACGCUCAGGCACGAAAGCGUGGGGAGCAAACAGG